rnacentral:sRNA from 1 species
GCCGGGCUGGGCCAGAACAGCCCAAGAUGGCCGACUUCGAUGAUCGUGUGUCGGAUGAGGAGAAGGUACGCAUAGCUGCUAAAUUCAUCACUCAUGCACCCCCAGGGGAAUUUAAUGAAGUAUUCAAUGACGUUCGGCUACUACUUAAUAAUGACAAUCUCCUCAGGGAAGGGGCAGCACAGUUUAUGCUAAAACUAUCGAUGGUCAACAGACUAUUAUUGCAUGUAUUGAAAGCCACCAGUUUCAGCCUAAAAACUUCUGGAAUGGUCGUUGGAGAUCAGAGUGGAAGUUCACCAUCACACCACCUACAGCCCAGGUGGUUGGAGUGCUUAAGAUUCAGGUUCAUUAUUAUGAAGAUGGCAACGUUCAGUUGGUUAGUCAUAAAGAUGUACAGGAUUCACUAACUGUUUCGAAUGAAGCCCAAACUGCCAAGGAGUUUAUUAAAAUCAUAGAGAAUGCAGAAAACGAGUAUCAGACAGCAAUUAGUGAAAACUAUCAAACAAUGUCAGAUACCACAUUCAAGGCCUUGCGCCGGCAGCUUCCAGUUACCCGCACCAAAAUCGACUGGAACAAGAUACUCAGCUACAAGAUUGGCAAAGAAAUGCAGAAUGCUUAAAGGCUGAAUGUAGGAUUCUUCAGUAUGUGGAAAGACAAGGAUUCAACGUGUGGUCAUAUGAUAAGUGAUUUAUAAACAAGAGUGAUAUUUUGCUAGGGCUUUCAAAGUUAACCGGUUUUCUAGCCUCAUGGAAUACUGUUGAACCUAUAGCAUUGUCUUGAUUCUUUUGUGUUCUCUGCCUUGUAAUUUUCUGUUACUGCUAUAUCUACGUGUAAAUCUUUUUUUUCUUUUUCUUUUUUUUUUUUUUUUGG